rnacentral:rRNA from 1 species
ACUCUGGUAUUGAUUGGUGCUUGCAUCAUGAUUUACAUUUGAGUGAGUGGCGAACUGGUGAGUAACACGUGGGAAACCUGCCCAGAAGCGGGGGAUAACACCUGGAAACAGAUGCUAAUACCGCAUAACAACUUGGACCGCAUGGUCCGAGUUUGAAAGAUGGCUUCGGCUAUCACUUUUGGAUGGUCCCGCGGCGUAUUAGCUAGAUGGUGGGGUAACGGCUCACCAUGGCAAUGAUACGUAGCCGACCUGAGAGGGUAAUCGGCCACAUUGGGACUGAGACACGGCCCAAACUCCUACGGGAGGCAGCAGUAGGGAAUCUUCCACAAUGGACGAAAGUCUGAUGGAGCAACGCCGCGUGAGUGAAGAAGGGUUUCGGCUCGUAAAACUCUGUUGUUAAAGAAGAACAUAUCUGAGAGUAACUGUUCAGGUAUUGACGGUAUUUAACCAGAAAGCCACGGCUAACUACGUGCCAGCAGCCGCGGUAAUACGUAGGUGGCAAGCGUUGUCCGGAUUUAUUGGGCGUAAAGCGAGCGCAGGCGGUUUUUUAAGUCUGAUGUGAAAGCCUUCGGCUCAACCGAAGAAGUGCAUCGGAAACUGGGAAACUUGAGUGCAGAAGAGGACAGUGGAACUCCAUGUGUAGCGGUGAAAUGCGUAGAUAUAUGGAAGAACACCAGUGGCGAAGGCGGCUGUCUGGUCUGUAACUGACGCUGAGGCUCGAAAGUAUGGGUAGCAAACAGG